AGGGGAAACAAACAACAAGAUGGUGGUGCGGGUCUUCGGGUAUGGGUCCCUGAUCUGGAACCCCGGCUUCGAUUUCAACGAGAAGAUCCUGAGAUUCAUCAAGGGCUACAAGCGAACGUUUAAUCUCGCUUGCAUUGACCAUAGAGGCGCUCCACAGAAUCCAUCCAGGACCUGCACUCCUGAAUCCGAAGAUGAAGAAAUAUGCGUAUUCAACGUGAGGAAUUUCAUACUUUUGGUGUGGUGCUAGCAAAUAUAGUGCCAAACAUAGUGAUGAGAAAGGGUGGAGCUGAGUAUGCCACACAUGGUUAUGAUUAUUCCCCGUAUGUUCUUUUUGGCAAUCCACUUCAUCACUGACUCAUCUGUGUAUGGGGUAGAGCCAAGGUGGCAUAAGUGUGUGGCUACGGAUUACAUCACGGAUUAUGUGCUACUUUAUUAGUUGAAGUCUCUUUGUUCGGUUCCAAAGUUUGGCCACAACUAGCUUGAUUCGGAGACAUUUCGUAUUAGGAGUUAAACUUUGGUUUGGAGGCAUUGAGCUUUGUCAGUAACUAGCUUUGUUACUUGGUAUACUUCUGUCAGCAUUCAGGAGCCCCGUAGUUGUGUAGCGGGUCGCGGGAGAGGCAGCCGGUGAGUGCGAGCUGGACGGGAAAGUGAUGCCUGCGAUGGCGAACCAUGCCGGCGGGCAGGGCAGGGUCGACGCUCUAAAUGUACUGCCUGCCA